rnacentral:rRNA from 1 species
UACGAAGGGGGCUAGCGUUGCUCGGAAUCACUGGGCGUAAAGGGUGCGUAGGCGGGUCUUUAAGUCAGGGGUGAAAUCCUGGAGCUCAACUCCAGAACUGCCUUUGAUACUGAAGAUCUUGAGUUCGGGAGAGGAGAGUGGAAUUCCCAGUGUAGAGGUGAAAUUCGUAGAUAUUGGGAAGAACACCGGUGGCGAAGGCGGCUCUCUGGACCGAGACUGACGCUGAGGCGCGAAAGCGUGGGGAGCAAACAGG